UGAGGAAUAUUGGUCAAUGGCCGGAAGGCUGAACCAGCCAAGUCGCGUGAGGGAAUAAGGCUCUAUGGGUCGUAAACCUCUUUUGUCAGGGAGCAAAGGCGUCCACGUGUGGACGAAAGGAGAGUACCUGAAGAAAAAGCAUCGGCUAACUCCGUGCCAGCAGCCGCGGUAAUACGGAGGAUGCGAGCGUUAUCCGGAUUUAUUGGGUUUAAAGGGUGCGUAGGCGGAGUGUCAAGUCAGCGGUAAAAUUUCGGGGCUCAACCCCGUCGUGCCGUUGAAACUGACACCCUUGAGUGAGUGAGA
rnacentral:rRNA from 1 species